CAGAGGAUGAGAUGGUUGGAUGGCAUGACCAACGCAAUGGACAUGAGUUUGUGUAGGCUCCUGGAGUUGAUAAUGGAUAGGGAGUCCUGGCAUGCUGCAGUCCGUGAGGUCGAAAAGAGUCAGACACGACUGAGCAACUGAACUGAACUAAGAGGAGCUGGAUCUGUAGCAUUAGAGAAAGAUCUGGCUGUGUUCCUGAUAAGAACAAAAAAGGUGAAGUGAUCAAGAACUUCAGAUAUCAAGGAAUCUGAAAAGAGUGAUGUUUGAAAUGAAUGCAUCUGCCUGUAAGAUUAUUAGAGGUGACAGCGGUUUAAGCGGAGUAGAACAAUUUUGGAAAUUGGAUUAUAACAUUUAAUUCGAUGAUUAACUUUUUUCAAAAAUGUGCCUAAAGUGGGAGGAUGAGUGGCUGGCAUGCCUUUCAUCACUUAGAUUCUGAGAUCUUACAUCCUUCUUGCCUCCUUUUAGCUCCACCGAGCCUUCCUGGAGUGGAACUUCUGCUCAGUUCUUGGAUGGAGGGGAUGCAGUACGACUUGCCCUCUCUUGUUUUCAGGGACUCUUAACUGGUAAAGAGAGUUUGGGACAUUUUACCAUCUGGAGUUUCUCUGUGCCUUGCUGAUGAUCUGAGCUCAAACCUGCCAGUUUAUGGGAAAAGAUAAGAAAACCUCCUGUAACAUCUGAAUACAGAGAGGCACACCCUUCUAGGCCUUGGGUGCCCACCCGCCUGUCCCCAGCCCCACAUACAUGGAGACAGCAGGAAUUCUGGACAUAAGACCCUUGAGGAUGAGAGGUAAAGUGCAGCCAAGAGAACCCCCUGGAGCAGGGCCUGGCCACGUCUGCACCAGCCUAGGAAUAGCGGUCUCUAGGGACAUUGAAUUUUACAUCCUCAGAUAAAAUUAGAAAAUGACCUAAUUUUAAUGAAAAAGUCAACAACUCUAGAACAUCUUGCCUAUGACUCAGCCUGUGUGCAUGUGUGCUAAGUCGCUUCAGUCCUGUCUGACUCUUUGCACCCCUGUGGACUGUAGCACACCAGGCUCCUCUAUCCAUGGGAUUCUCCAGGCAGGAAUAUUCAAACAGAAAAAAAUUGUUCUGUAAACAACCAAUUAUUUGCCUAAAAUUCAUUCGGCCAUUUUCCCAGAUAAAAUACCAGUUAUUUAACCAAAUUUUUCUUUUUCUUUUCUCCCCUCAAAGUAAAUCCUUUAUUCAACAAAGAUUUAAGGGACUCUCAUAUUUGUCAUGCACACCAAAGAUAAGGCAUACCUGCAAGGAUAAAAGACACAUGGAGUUGAGGGUGGAGGCCUGACGAUACACAGUCGGCCUCCAUGGGGAGGAGGCAGGGGCCUUCAGAGAGGCAUUGUUGCAGGAAGCUUUGGAGCAGGGAAUGUAGACUGCUGAGAUUUGGAGGAUGAAUAGGACUUGAUUGUUAGCCAGGUUGGGGGGACCAUAAAGCUGCGACAUGGGGGUAUAAAGAAGAGCGAACAGGGUCAAGAGAUGCAGUGAGUCUGAGUGACGUGACUUUGUGGCUGGCUGAAUUUGAAGAAUAGGAGAGAAAGCAGCAUCAAGGUUGAGUUCAGCUUUGGACAAGGCCGUCUCAACAAGUGGUGAUACCAUUCACUGAGGUGGGAAUACAAGACACCUAGGAAGUUUAUUUGUUUUUCUUGCUGGUUUGGGAAGCCAAGAAAUCACCCCAGAGGUUUUAUCAGAGGAGUGUAGCUAUUUGCAUACACUUGACCGAACUUCAAAGAUGUCCCUCUUUGUCCCGUCUGUGUUCUGGGAGAACAUGGAGCAGCAGGGAGGAGAGUGAAGACCGACCUGGCCUUGGUGGCCUGUGCUUGUGGCAUCGCAUCUCGGGCUGUGGUGGGACUCGUGUUUACAGGUUGCAAAAAUAUCUGCCUCUAAGAAUUCAGGAGGACCUACUUUGUGGGAGCAAAGGUAGUGAGUCAUACCUGCAAGCUUGGAAACGAGAGUUCGCUUGUGCUUCUUCAUCCAGUUGGGAAGUUUCCUAGGCAACCAUUUAUGCAGCAAUUAAAAGAUGAGGAGUUAAGAGCUUGCCUUGGGAUCCCAGGAUGUUUUUUGGCUCGGUUAGUCCAAGGAGAAAAUGGGAAAAACAGAGGUACCUUUAAUGGAACAGAAUAAACACUGAACAGGUAACUAAAUUAUCAGGGAUUGGUACACAUUAAUUAGUUAAUAUUUGUGACAUCCUUAGGUGGUUACCUGGGCUUCCCUGGUGGCUCAUCGGAAAAGAACCCACCUGUAAUGCAGGAGACUCGGGUUCAAUCCCUGGGUCAGGAAGA